rnacentral:rRNA from 3 species
CCUCGAAUCAGGUAGGAAUACCCGCUGAACUUAAGCAUAUCAAUAA